GUGGGGAAUAUUGGACAAUGGGCGAAAGCCUGAUCCAGCCAUGCCGCGUGUGUGAAGAAGGUCUUCGGAUUGUAAAGCACUUUAAGUUGGGAGGAAGGGCAGUAAGUUAAUACCUUGCUGUUUUGACGUUACCGACAGAAUAAGCACCGGCUAACUUCGUGCCAGCAGCCGCGGUAAUACGAAGGGUGCAAGCGUUAAUCGGAAUUACUGGGCGUAAAGCGCGCGUAGGUGGUUUUGUAAGUUGGAGGUGAAAUCCCCGGGCUCAACCUGGGAACUGCCUCCAAAACUGCAUGACUAGAGUACGGUAGAGGGUAGUGGAAUUUCCUGUGUAGCGGUGAAAUGCGUAGAUAUAGGAAGGAACACCAGUGGCGAAGGCGACUACCUGGACUGAUACUGACACUGAGGUGCGAAAGCGUGGGGAGCAAACAGGAUUAGAUACCCUAGUAGUC
rnacentral:rRNA from 1 species